CUAAUACAUCAGACUGAAACUAAGUCGCCCUAAAAAAGAAGCCAGAAUGAUGAAUACAAUGAUAUUUAAAUUGACUUUACCAGUUGUCCGUGGUGUUGGUCCUUUUGAUGAUAGGAAAUGAAGAUAAGAUGUCCACAGGAAAGUAUUAUUAACCAGACUUUUUGGGCACCGGUUUGGCUCUGUCGGCUUGUAUUUCCGAUGCAGCAGUGCACAGUAGUCAGUGCAUCCGGAGUUUGUGUCCCACUAGCUGAUGGCUGAGCCGUGAUCCUAGGUCGUGGUCCAGAGACUGGAGUUGUUGACAAAAAGUGCUCCCGAAACCAGGCGAAGCUGGUGGCCUGUUAUGCAGACAAGGAGGUACUUGUAACACAGCUUGGUCCAAACUCCUUCAGCAGCGAGAGUCUUGGUAGAGGCCAGUCUGGCCGACUGACCCAUGACAGCACCCUCUACCUGGUCAACCAGAGCCACCCCUUCAGAGUGUAGUUCUCUACUUUCAACGAAACCUCCUCAUCCCCUGCCCAGAAGGGGAAGGCUGUAGAAAGGUUGAAAGUGUUGGAUAAGACAAAAGGAGGAAUGAACAACAGAGUUUCAGAGCACAGGUCUCAAACGCAGUAUCCAAUACUUUUUUGCUUCCUCUCCCGAGAAGGCAUCCGAAGGGCCAUGCAGUUCCUAGGAGGACCCGCAGGAGAAGCGUCGGAGGACUGAGGGCUCAGACAGUGGGGGCGAGGAUGAGGCUGAGAAGCUUGCUGAGGAGAAGCUCUGACAGCUCCAAGAGAUAUCAGAGAGGGCUUCAGGGGCCAUCAGAGAUGGUUUCCAGCAGCAGGCCUCAGCAUGUUCUCAAAGCCACUGGCAACAGAUUGGAAACCUCAUGCUCUACACAGCUGCUGGCAUCACUGGAAGCACCAAGGUUGUGUUCGUCACCAUUCAGAUGGGUAUCUCUAGGGGGAAACUGAAACCUGAGGAUUUCAAGUCUAAAGUGGAGACCAUUCUGAAGACAUUACAGCUCCCCGCACAGGAAGUCAGUGAUGGGGAUAUGGGAGCACCUUUGUGAGAAGGUGAGACCAGAAGACAUGUCUCAUAUCAGACAUUGUGAAUAGGGAUUAAAGGGUGGCUAUGAUUGUAUCCUUCUACAACAGGUCACAACACGGGUGUGUCACAAAAGGUUCACAAUACCAACUCCCUUUGGCACUGUCGAGUUGUGCUUGUCAUCCACUUAGACCACAUUACCCUGGUGAGUCAUGACAUAGACCAGUCACUGCUUCAACAUUUACUCUACCUUUUAGUCAUUUAUCAGACUCUCUUAUCCAGAGCAACUUACAGUAGUGAGUGCAGACAUUUUCAUACUUCAACAAGCAUAUGGUGCGGGAAAUCAAUGGAAUAGAAUAGAAAUAUCAGAUUAGAAUACAAUAGAAAUAUUAGGAUCGAAAAGUACUUUAAUUUGUCCAUAUGCCUCCAGCAUAUGCUUCCAGGAAUUUGAAUAUGAUAAAAAUCAAUGGAGACAAAUCAGCAGAGAAAGUGUUCUGUGUCCACUGACUGUAUGAAAGGUGAUUCUCGCUAUGUUGUAGAUACACUUUAUGACCAGGUGUUGUACAGGCAUGCAUUGCACAUCUUAAUAGUGCCUGAUUGUCU